GCGCGCGCGCCUGGGUGUGUGUUGUUAGCUGAUAUCCAUGGCAGCUGCAGUGGCAGGUGUUCCCUUCUUUUCGCCAGGUUUGCAUCCAAGAGAGGGGAGGACAGGGGCAAAAGGAUGCAGGGAGGCUGCUGAUUUCCACUGAAGAGCUAAUUUCCUGUGAGACAUUAACAGUGAUUUAAGAAAAAGAUUCCUGUAACUGUAAUGUCUUACAAUAACAGAAUGCAGGAGAGCACAUAUCAAUGAAGAAAAGACAAAAUGUACUUAUCCAUGAAGCUGAGGUUAAGAAACCAGUGUCUUCAAGAGCCAGGGACAGCACUGGGUCUGUGCAGAGUUGAGAGAUGGUGAUGACAUGUGGUUUCCAGCAUUCCUCGCCCAGUCCAGGGACACUGUGGGUGUGCCCAGCUUAAGUCCAGUCCAGUAACUGGAAAUACAAGCCCAAGUUCUGGAGAGUUUGAGCUGCAG
rnacentral:antisense_RNA from 1 species